AGUGAACGCUGGCGGUAGGCCUAACACAUGCAAGUCGAACGGCAGCACAGUAAGAGCUUGCCCUUACGGGUGGCGAGUGGCAGACGGGUGAGGAAUACAUCGGAAUCUACUUUUUCGUGGGGGAUAACGUAGGGAAACUUACGCUAAUACCGCAUACGACCUACGGGUGAAAGCAGGGGAUCUUCGGACCUUGCGCGAUUGAAUGAGCCGAUGUCGGAUUAGCUAGUUGGCGGGGUAAAGGCCCACCAAGGCGACGAUCCGUAGCUGGUCUGAGAGGAUGAUCAGCCACACUGGAACUGAGACACGGUCCAGACUCCUACGGGAGGCAGCAGUGGGGAAUAUUGGACAAUGGGCGCAAGCCUGAUCCAGCCAUACCGCGUGGGUGAAGAAGGCCUUCGGGUUGUAAAGCCCUUUUGUUGGGAAAGAAAAGCAGCAGGUUAAUACCCCGCUGUUCUGACGGUACCCAAAGAAUAAGCACCGGCUAACUUCGUG
rnacentral:rRNA from 1 species